CGUAACAAGGUCUCCGUAGGUGAACCUGCGGAGGGAUCAUUACACAAAUAUGAAGGCGGGCUGGAACCUCUCGGGGUUACAGCCUUGCUGAAUUAUUCACCCUUGUCUUUUGCGUACUUCUUGUUUCCUUGGUGGGUUCGCCCACCACUAGGACAAACAUAAACCUUUUGUAAUUGCAAUCAGCGUCAGUAACAAAUUAAUAAUUACAACUUUCAACAACGGAUCUCUUGGUUCUGGCAUCGAUGAAGAACGCAGCGAAAUGCGAUAAGUAGUGUGAAUUGCAGAAUUCAGUGAAUCAUCGAAUCUUUGAACGCACAUUGCGCCCUUUGGUAUUCCAAAGGGCAUGCCUGUUCGAGCGUCAUUUGUACCCUCAAGCUUUGCUUGGUGUUGGGCGUCUUGUCUCUAGCUUUGCUGGAGACUCGCCUUAAAGUAAUUGGCAGCCGGCCUACUGGUUUCGGAGCGCAGCACAAGUCGCACUCUCUAUCAGCAAAGGUCUAGCAUCCAUUAAGCCUUUUUUUCAACUUUUGACCUCGGAUCAGGUAG
rnacentral:rRNA from 1 species